UACGGAGGGUGCAAGCGUUAUCCGGAUUCACUGGGUUUAAAGGGUGCGUAGGCGGGCAGGUAAGUCCGUGGUGAAAUCUCUGAGCUUAACUCAGAAACUGCCAUGGAUACUAUUUGUCUUGAAUAUUGUGGAGGUAAGCGGAAUAUGUCAUGUAGCGGUGAAAUGCGUAGAUAUCUGGAGGAACACCGGUGGCGAAGGCGGCAUCCUGGACCAACACUGACGCUGAGGAGCGAAAGCCAGGGGAGCAAACGGG
rnacentral:rRNA from 1 species